rnacentral:rRNA from 1 species
CUUGAGUACACGCAGCGCAGGCGGAAUUCAUGGUGUAGCGGUGAAAUGCUUAGAUAUCAUGAGGAACUCCGAUCGCGAAGGCAGCCUGCGGGAGUGUUACUGACGCUUAAGCUCGAAGGUGCGGGUAUCGAACAGGAUUAGAUACCCUGGUAGUCCGCACUGUAAACGAUGGAUGCCCGCCGUUGGCGCCCUGCGCCUGCGGCCAAGCGAAAGCAUUAAGCAUCCCACCUGGGGAGUACGCCGGCAACGGUGAAACUCAAAGAAAUUGACGGGGGCCCGCACAAGCGGAGGAACAUGUGGUUUAAUUCGAUGAUACGCGAGGAACCUUACCCGGGCUUGAAUUGCAGUCGCUGCCCACAGAGACGUGGGCUCCCCUUCGGGGCGUCUGUGAAGGUGCUGCAUGGUUGUCGUCAGCUCGUGCCGUGAGGUGUCGGCUUAAGUGCCAUAACGAGCGCAACCCCCUUUCCCAGUUGCCAUCGGGUGAUGCCGGGCACUCUGGGGACACUGCCACCGCAAGGUGCGAGGAAGGUGGGGAUGACGUCAAAUCAGCACGGCCCUUACGUCCGGGGCUACACACGUGUUACAAUGGCCGGUACAGAGGGACGGUGCAAUGCAAGUUGCAUCCAAUCUUGAAAUCCGGUCCCAGUUCGGACUGGGGUCUGCAACCCGACCCCACGAAGCUGGAUUCGCUAGUAAUCGCGCAUCAGCCAUGGCGCGGUGAAUACGUUCCCGGGCCUUGUACACACCGCCCGUCAAGCCAUGAAAGCCGGGGGUGCCUGAAGUUCGUGACCGCGAGGAGCGACCUAGGGCAAGACCGGUGAUUGGGGCUAAGUCGUAACAAGGUAACC